rnacentral:tRNA from 1 species
UGAUAGAGGAAAACACCCUUUUUUGUUUGCAAUACAAAAAUAUUAUUUUCUA